CGGAGCCCUGCUGAGGGCGUGCGGGGCCCGGCGGGGAUUAUUCUCCAAGAGGAUUUAGACCUUGCUUCAGAAGAUGCCUGCUGCCUGUGAACCAGUGCUUGAAGCUAUUGAAGACACUGUGUCAGCAGAAGAUUUGAAGCCACGUGAUCGGCAGUUUGUAAGAAAGAAUGUUUUUCCAAAAGUGCGAAAACGCAAUUCACAAAAAAAUACUCAGGCAGACGAUGAUCCCCCAAGUGACAGGUAAAUUCUUCCAUCAACC